UAGGGAAUCUUCCACAAUGGACGCAAGUCUGAUGGAGCAACGCCGCGUGAGUGAAGAAGGUCUUCGGAUCGUAAAGCUCUGUUGUUGGUGAAGAAGGAUAGAGGCAGUAACUGGUCUUUAUUUGACGGUAAUCAACCAGAAAGUCACGGCUAACUACGUGCCAGCAGCCGCGGUAAUACGUAGGUGGCAAGCGUUGUCCGGAUUUAUUGGGCGUAAAGCGAGCGCAGGCGGAAUGAUAAGUCUGAUGUGAAAGCCCACGGCUCAACCGUGGAACUGCAUCGGAAACUGUCAUUCUUGAGUGCAGAAGAGGAGAGUGGAACUCCAUGUGUAGCGGUGGAAUGCGUAGAUAUAUGGAAGAACACCAGUGGCGAAGGCGGCUCUCUGGUCUGCAACUGACGCUGAGGCUCGAAAGCAUGGGUAGCGAACAGGAUUAGAUACCCUGGUAGUCCAUGCCGUAAACGAUGAGCGCUAGUGUGGCACUUUCCG
rnacentral:rRNA from 1 species